rnacentral:misc_RNA from 1 species
GAUGAAGAACGCAGUGAAAUGCGAUAAGUAAUGUGAAUUGCAGAAUUCAGUGAAUCAUCGAAUCUUUGAACGCACAUUGCGCCCGCCAGUAUUCUGGCGGGCAUGCCUGUUCGAGCGUCAUUACAACCCUCAGGCCCCCGGGCCUGGCGUUGGGGAUCGGCGGAAGCCCCCUGCGGGCACAACGCCGUCCCCCAAAUACAGUGGCGGUCCCGCCGCAGCUUCCAUUGCGUAGUAGCUAACACCUCGCAACUGGAGAGCGGCGCGGCCACGCCGUAAAACACCCAACUUCUGAAUGUUGACCUCGAAUCAGGUAGGAAUACCCGCUGAACUUAAGCAUAUCAAAAGCGGAGGA